rnacentral:rRNA from 1 species
CAGUCGCCACGGUAAUACGUAGGUGGCAAGCGUUGUCCGGAAUUAUUGGGCGUAAAGGGCUCGCAGGCGGUUUCUUGAGUCUGAUGUGAAAGCCCCCGGCUCAACCGGGGAGGGCCAUUGGAAACUGGGAAACUUGAGUGCAGAAGAGGAGAGUGGAAUUCCACGUGUAGCGGUGAAAUGCGUAGAGAUGUGGAGGAACACCAGUGGCGAAGGCGACUCUCUGGUCUGUAACUGACGCUGAGGAGCGAAAGCGUGGGGAGCGAACAGGAUUAGAUACCCGCGUAGUCCCUGUCUCUUAUAC